GAUGAAGAACGUAGCGAAAUGCGAUACGUAAUGUGAAUUGCAGAAUUCAGUGAAUCAUCGAAUCUUUGAACGCAUAUUGCGCUCUUUGGUAUUCCGAAGAGCAUGCUUGUUUGAGUAUCAGUAAACACCUCAAAGCUUUUGGAUUUUUUAAUCGAAAAGCUUUGGACUUGAGCAAUCCCAACACCAAUCUUUUUGAGAUCGGUGGCGGGUUGCUUGAAAUGCAGGUGCAGCUGGACAUUCUCCUGAGCUAAAAGCAUAUUCAUUUAGUCCCGUCAAACGGAUUAUUACUUUGGCUGCAGCUAACAUAAAGGGAGUUUGACCGUAUUGGCUGACUGAUGCAGGAUUUCACAAGGGUCGGCAACGAUUCUUGUUAAACUCGAUCUCAAAUCAAGUAAGACUACCCGCUGAACUUAAGCAUAUCAAUAAGCGGAGGA
rnacentral:misc_RNA from 1 species